GAACUGGCAGGCUAGAGUAUGUCAGAGGGGGGUAGAAUUCCACGUGUAGCAGUGAAAUGCGUAGAGAUGUGGAGGAAUACCGAUGGCGAAGGCAGCCCCCUGGGAUAAUACUGACGUUCAUGCUCGAAAGCGUGGGUAGCAAACAGGAUUAGAUACCCUGGUAGUCCACGCCCUAAACGAUGUCAAUUAGCUGUUGGGGUGCUUGACACCUUAGUAGCGUAGCUAACGCGUGAAAUUGACCGCCUGGGGAGUACGGUCGCAAGAUUAAAACUCAAAGGAAUUGACGGGGACCCGCACAAGCGGUGGAUGAUGUGGAUUAAUUCGAUGCAACGCGAAGAACCUUACCUGGUCUUGACAUGUACGGAAUCCUCCAGAGACGGAGGAGUGCCUUCGGGAGCCGUAACACAGGUGCUGCAUGGCUGUCGUCAGCUCGUGUCGUGAGAUGUUGGGUUAAGUCCCGCAACGAGCGCAACCCUUGUCAUUAGUUGCCAUCAUUUAGUUGGGCACUCUAAUGAGACUGCCGGUGACAAACCGGAGGAAGGUGGGGAUGACGUCAAGUCCUCAUGGCCCUUAUGACCAGGGCUUCACACGUCAUACAAUGGUCGGUACAGAGGGUAGCCAAGCCGCGAGGUGGAGCCAAUCCCAAAAAACCGAUCGUAGUCCGGAUUGCACUCUGCAACUCGAGUGCAUGAAGUCGGAAUCGCUAGUAAUCGCAGGUCAGCAUACUGCGGUGAAUACGUUCCCGGGUCUUGUACACACCGCCCGUCACACCAUGGGAGUGGGGGAUACCAGAAGUAGGUAGGGUAACCGCAAGGAGCCCGCUUACCACGGUAUGCUUCAUGACUGGGGUGAAGUCGUAACAAGGUA
rnacentral:rRNA from 1 species